UUUCUAUUCCUUUCUGUGUGUGUCUGCAGCAUCAUUUUAUGACAUACAAACCAGAUUUUGAGUGGGUUCCACCCUGCCUCUGCAGAAUGUUCUAAGGAGCAAGGAUCUGCGGAAACUAGGACAACGCUCCCUCAGUAUGAUAUUUGCAUGGGCGCUCUGAUGCUUCUCAUUUAUUCCUCACGUGCUGAUCUCAAUGGACAUUUAAUUUUGCAGCCGACUACCUUAAAACACAUGACAAAUGCUAGUAUGCAGCCUAGAGCCUGGAAACAGGAAUUUAAGCUGAGCCCUGGAUGUGGUGGUGCCUGCCUGCAGACUGUGGCGCCCGCGGCCUGAGAUGACUGUAUGCUUGACUGAAGCAAAACGGAUAGGAAGUCCUAACAAGGAAUCCAUCCGAAGAGCCUGGACUUAAAUGUAGAGGCAAUGCAUAAGCAUGCAAAAGGUAAAUGAAAAUUGAAAACCAAACCAGAGAACAUAAGGUGAUGACACAGAAGAUCUGAUAAUUUCUGGAAGUAUGGAGCUGGAGAUUUCUUGAACUCAUGUAAGCACACAUGUGUGUGCACUUGUGUGUUUGUGUGGUUUGUCUCACGUGUCGUCCAUUCUUAUUCUGUUAAAAAAAUGCCAACCAUUUCUCUAAUUCAGGAGAUGAACAGGAUCCAAACUAGAAUACCUGAUUCAUUCUCCGAGGUUUAGUGAGUACAACUAGUGGGAAAGGUUUUUCCUGGCAGGCCAUGAAAUUGUUAGUGUGAAUUCAGAACUACCAGCAACAUAUCCUAAUGCAGAUAGCCUUGACUGCUCUAAAAUACAGCUAAAAUAACCUAGGAAGGAAAUCAUAAAAGACUAAUGCAGAGAGAAUCUUGAAGACAUUCAGUUUUCCAGUUCCAUUCAACCUCAGUAUCACCUUUGCCCUUCCUGGAUAUGUGGACCAAUAAAUCUCAUUUUGAACUUGAGCUAGUUUGCAUCGACUUUCUGUCAGGUACUACUAGAGAAUAGUGGCUAUUACAGAGGACUUAAUUCAGUGGUUGGAAACUAUGCCCCUGGCUCUAUAGGCUUUCAAGGAAAAUACAUGUGUGUAUGGGUGUGGGGAGGUUGGGGAGUGGGGUUGCUUCUUGCUAGCUCUUAGGCCCAGAGAGCUGGGAAAAAUAUAAGUGACCCAGAAAACCAAAAGAUUAUAUGCAAACAUAUUAGAGCUAAAAAUAAAACCAUACCAAGCUUCCUAUGGUUGCAGAAAAUUACAGAAAUCUCAGGAAGAGGCAAAGGGGUCUGGCACUCACAAAAAUAAAAUCAUGUCGGGUGAAUGUUCUAACCCUAAAACACAUGGCUUGGUGAAGCACAUAGUAUUGGUGUUGAGUAGUGGUGCUGGUGGAUAUCAAGUAAUUGCACUUGGAAACUCUUUUCUGGAGGCUACUAUUUAAACCACAUUUCAUUAUAAUAAUUGUGUGGAUUGAUAUUAUUCAUUCCGAGUAGAGAAAUCUGUAUGUAUCUUGAUUACAUGAUAUUUGUAAACUUGAAAUUUUGUGAAUUACUUCUAUAAAUUUGCAUAUGUGAUUAUAAAAGAACCCACACAUUCAGCACUCGUUCAGAACUAGCACUUGGUCUUAGACCCAAGUAGAAUAAAAUGGAUGACCACACUAAUAACACAACUCUGAUAUAUGUAAACUAUUUCCCCAGGCAAGUAGACAUGAAGUUGGUCAGAUUUUCGUGAUCUAUAUCCUUUAUGCAGAAGCUCAAAUAAUGGUAGGGCCCAUUGUUUAUAUGUUACAAAGCGCUGAAAUUGUGCUAAUCCAAUUCCUAAUAAAAGUUAGAACGCUAACUCUUCUAGACGUCUCUCCAAAUUAUAUGGGACCUAAUAUUAUCAUAAAGGGGAAGAAUAGAAAUUAUCAAAAUAUACACCUCUUCAAGAGUUACCCGCUUGACAAUUAAAAAAUAAUUUUGGUAUUUCAAUGCUUAUCACAGUAUACUUAUGAAAAUCUACUGCAGGAUUAGAAAGCCUCAUAAUGUCUCUGUCAAAAAUUUGUGGAGCAGGAAUUUCAGACUAACAGAAUGAGGGAAAUACAACAUUACAAGAGUUAAAGGCUGAGAAUUUUUCAGAACUUAAUGAAGAUGUGACUGCUUAUGUUUCAGUCACACAUAGGAUCCUGAGCAGGAACUCUGAGCUAGGGCUAAUGCAAGAACAACAACAGUGCUAGAGUGUAGAGUUAUAAACUCACAUAUAACACAUAUUUUAAAAUAAUAAUAAAUAUAAGCAUAAUAGAGUUGUGGAGAUAGUCUCCUAUAUCUAGACAUUUUACCCUCUCUGAAUCCACCCCCAUAUCUCAUUUUCUUUAUUUUUAAAUAUUUAAUGUUUAUUUAUUCUUGAGAGAGACAGACAGAGAGAGAGAACAUGAGCAGGGGAGAAGCAGAGCAAGAGAAGGACACAGAAUCCAAAGCAGGCUCCAGUCUCUGAGCUGUCAGCACAGAGCCCGACACAGGGCUUGAACUCACAGGCCGUGAGAUCAUGACUUGAGCCGAAGUCAGAUGCUCAACCCACUUAGCCACCCAGGCGCUCCCACACAUGUCAUUUUCAACAGCCUUUAUCUACUUUUCUGCAACUGGUCUCCUUGCCUAUAUUCUUAUUAACCACAUAUCCAUUUUCUACUAAACACCAGGAAUAAUCUAGCUAAUAAACAAGUAUAAUAGAGCUCACUCCUGUGAUUUCACAUAACCUUGAAAAAUAAAAGUCCAAAAUCUCUGCACAGUGUGUUAGAUCGUCUAUGCCUGUCCAUACUCAUAUCCCUAUUUGUAUUAGUUAUAUUUGAGCUGUACUUAAAUCCUAAUGUUUCCUGGUCUCUAGACCAUGCAAUCUCCAGCCUCUUUCUGUUUUCAAGUAUUCUUGCCAUGGCCAGGACAUACCACUAUAGUGCCCUCUCCCACCUGCAACUCCACACCCCACCCCAUCCUUGCCACACACAGAGCUGUCUCUGUUCAGAUAUGUAAAUAACCAAGAAGCACAUGGCAGGCUUAGAAGGUACUCUCAUUGUUUUGAUGCUACCAUGAGAACAUACCUUCCAUAAUAUUUAUGAAAAAUGGCAGUGCCCUUUGUCUACCUCUCUAACCUGAAGGCCUUUUGGAAAAGGGAUUUUAUCAAAUAUAUUUUUAUUGCUUUUAGUAUUUGGAGUGUUUAAAACAGUCGACUACAUGCUCAAAAGUCAUUUAUCAUAUGAACAAACAAAGGAGCGUAUCUUCUUAUUUGCUCAUAUUUGUUUAUGCACCAAUAUCCAAUCGUACCUUAAUUCAUUUAGCAGAUAUCAUUAAACGUGUGAUCUAAAAACAAUCUCUAUUAAUGUGAAAUCUGGUACAGUGAUAUGAAAGUGUUCCAAAUGAUGUGAGAAGAACUCAUGUAUUGAAACUCUUCUAAGGUCUGUUGAUGUUUUUACUCAUAAAACAUUACAUAAGGAUGCAUUACUUAACAUUUCUGAAUCUCAGUUUAUUGCUAUGCAAAAUGUAUAUGCUCAUAAAUGUCUAACUUAUUAUUUUGAGAAUUAAAUGUGAAACAUAUGUUCAAGUUACUA